AUCCUGGCUCAGGAUGAACGCUGGCGGCGUGCUUAACACAUGCAAGUCGAACGAAGCACUUUAUUACGAUUUCUUCGGAAUGACGAUUUAGUGACUGAGUGGCGGACGGGUGAGUAACGCGUGGGUAACCUGCCUCAUACAGGGGGAUAACAGUUGGAAACGACUGCUAAUACCGCAUAAGCGCACAGUAUCGCAUGAUACAGUGUAACAACGUCGGUGUNGAUGCGCCG
rnacentral:rRNA from 1 species